CCUACGGGAGGCUGCAGUGAGGAAUAUUGGUCAAUGGGCGGGAGCCUGAACCAGCCAAGUCGCGUGAGGGAAGACGGUCCUAUGGAUUGUAAACCUCUUUAGGCGGGGAGCAAUGCCGCGCACGCGUGCCCGGAGGGAGAGUACCCGCAUAAUAAGCAUCGGCUAACUCCGUGCCAGCAGCCGCGGUAAUACGGAGGAUGCGAGCGUUAUCCGGAUUUAUGGGGUUUAAAGGGUGCGUAGGCGGAUUUUUAAGUCAGCGGUAAAAUGUCCGGGCUCAACCCGGGCCGGCCGUUGAAACUGGGGAUCUUGAGUGGGCGAGAAGUAUGCGGAAUGCGUGGUGUAGCGGUGAAUUGCAUAGAUAUCACGUAGAACUCCGAUUGCGAAGGCAGCAUACCGGCGCCCGACUGACGCUGAGGCACGAAAGCGUGGGGAUCGAACAGGAUUAGAUACCCUUGUAGUC
rnacentral:rRNA from 1 species